rnacentral:rRNA from 1 species
AGCGAACGCUGGCGGCAUGCCUAACACAUGCAAGUCGAACGAGACCUUCGGGUCUAGUGGCGCACGGGUGCGUAACGCGUGGGAACCUGCCCGUAGGUUCGGAAUAACUCCCCGAAAGGGGUGCUAAUACCGGAUAAUGUCAUCGGACCAAAGAUUUAUCGCCUUUGGAUGGGCCCGCGUUGGAUUAGCUAGUUGGUAGGGUAAAAGCCUACCAAGGCGACGAUCCAUAGCUGGUCUGAGAGGAUGAUCAGCCACGCUGGGACUGAGACACGGCCCAGACUCCUACGGGAGGCAGCAGUAGGGAAUAUUGGACGAUGGGCGAAGGCCUGAUCCAGCAAUGCCGCGUGAGUGAUGAAGGCCUUAGGGUUGUAAAGCUCUUUUACCCGGGAUGAUAAUGACAGUACCGGGUGAAUAAGCUCCGGCUAACUCCGUG